rnacentral:lncRNA from 1 species
CUCCGUGUUCAUGAAACCUAGCCAUGCCAAAAUCUCCUAACCUACCAUUGAACUCAGCGUCCAACAUAAUGUUUGAAGCUUUGACAUCUCGGUGCAGAACAACUUGGUCAGCAGCUGUAUGGAGGUACCAUAGAGCAGACGCUAUUCCUUUAACAACCACAAGUCUCUGUGACCAAGGAAGAACCGGUUUCGUCUCAUCAAACAAAUGCUCGUCAAGGCUACCGUUAGGCAUGUACUCCGAGACAAGAAGAAGUUCCCGCUUCCUCCUGCAAUACCCAAAAAGUGGAACAAGAUUCCUGUGUUUCAGACAUUCCAUGCUCACCACUUCAGCCACAAAUUGCUUCACACCUUCAUCACCAUUAUGUGACACUCUCUUCACUGCUAUUUCUCUGCCUUGCGGAAGAUGACCUCUAUAGACUUCACCAAAGCCUCCUUUUCCGAGGAACUCAUCUUUACUGAAACCCUUUGUUGCUUUGUACAAGGACUUGUAAGAGAACCGAUGUGCAUCAAACUCCUUCUCCCAUGUUUCAGAAACUUCAGAAUACUUCUUCCUCCUGCGGACAUAAACUCCAGCAAGAAAAGCCAAAACCGCAACAGCCACACAAACAACCAGAGCAAUAAUCCAAGGAGGUAGAUUCUUACGUGGAGCUUUAGGAUGAGGAACUUUAGGAAGUUUUGAGAUGUCAAGACCAUGCGGCGAUCCUCUGCCUGUGCUGAAACUCCACCAAAGAAUAUAGUGACCACUCACUGCGUUCCCUGUUGCUGCGGAGAAGCCAACAAACAGUUUGGAACUAUUAGGAAAAAUCUUUGAAAGGCUGAUUGGUUGCGACAAAAGAGGCCGACUUGGCUUCUGGACUUUAAGAGGUGCGAUCCAUACACUGAGCACAGUGCCGUCAUAAUCCACCCAGACUUGUACGAUGAGACUACCAGGGAAGCUGCAUCAACCAGAACCGGAGCAAAUGUGCCGAUCCCCACAGUAUAUGGUGAGAAAUCUGGCAAAGGCAGGUUGUUGUUUAGGUACAAGACCACUUGUUCCAUCGUAGGCCUAGACUCUGGCACGAUAUUUGAGCAGAGCAGACCGAGUUUCAUAACCAUCUCAACUUCCUCUGGUGAGAACUCAUCUCCCAGUCUUGGAUCAGUGGCAUCGAGCAAAGCAUCCUUCUUCCAACACUCGCAAACCCAUUUGAUCAUAUGUCGUUUCUCAGGUUGCAACUGCGGUUCCAAUGGUCUUCUCCCACAUGCUACUUCAAGCAUGAAAACACCAAAGGCGUAAACAUCAGUUGCAGUGGAAGCUCCCAUUGUGAUUAGCUCAGGUGCCAUGUACCCUACUGUUCCCACAGCAGCUGUUGUGGCUGCAUCGCCUCCGUGUUCAUGAAACCUAGCCAUGCCAAAAUCUCCUAACCUACCAUUGAACUCAGCGUCCAACAUAAUGUUUGAAGCUUUGACAUCUCGGUGCAGAACAACUUGGUCAGCAGCUGUAUGGAGGUACCAUAGAGCAGACGCUAUUCCUUUAACAACCACAAGUCUCUGUGACCAAGGAAGAACCGGUUUCGUCUCAUCAAACAAAUGCUCGUCAAGGCUACCGUUAGGCAUGUACUCCGAGACAAGAAGAAGUUCCCGCUUCCUCCUGCA